rnacentral:rRNA from 1 species
ACGAUGGAGAGUUUGAUCCUGGCUCAGGAUGAACGCUAGCGGCAGGCCUAAUACAUGCAAGACUAGGGGGCAGCAAUGUCACCGUCGCACG